GGCAAGAACAUUAUUUCAUAUGAUGAUUGAAAGAGGUGAACAACCUUGACACUAUUACUUACACUAUUUUGAUGCAUGAAUAUUGUUUAAUUGGUAAAGUGAAUGAGGCAAGAAAUUUAUUUCAUGGGAUGAUUGAAAGGGGUUUGGUGCCUGAUGUUUGGAGCUAUAACAUCUUGAUUAAAGGUUAUUGCAAGUUUGAAAGAGUGGGUGAAGCUAUGUAUUUACUUGAAGAUAUUUUUCUUAUGAAUUUAGUUCCAAACAUUAUAACUUACAAUUCUGUAGUUGACGGCUUAUGCAAAUCUGUCGGAAUUUUGGAUGCAUGGAAGCUUGUUGAUGAAAUGCAUUAUUGUGGUCAACCACCUCCAGAUGUAACCUCUUACAAUAACUUGUUAGAGUCUUCAUGUAGAAUUGAGCGUGUUGAAAAGACAAUUGCAUUUUUUAAACACCUCAUCUUUGAAAGAAGUUUUGCACCUAAUGUUUGGAGUUACAACAUCUUGAUUAGUGGUUGUUGCAAGAAUAGAAGAUUGGAUGAAGCCAUUAAUCUUUUUAAUCAUAUGUGUUUCAAGAUUUUGGUUCCAGAUAUUGUAACAUACAAUAUGUUCUUAGAUGCUUUAUUCAACGGGCAGCAACUUGACAAGGCAAUUGCAUUAUUAGUCCAAAUUGUUGAUCAAGGUAUUAGCCCAAAUUUGCAAACAUACAAUUUACUUCUUAAUGGGUUGCACAAAGGUGGGAAGUCAAAGACUGCACAAAAGAUUUCCUUGUAUCUUUCCAUGAGAGGUUACCAUCCGGAUGUCCAAACAUAUAUAAUCAAUGAGCUUUGUAAAGGUGGAUUGUGAGGAUAAAGAAGGACCAUGCUGUUAAAAUAAAUGGAAGGCAUUUAUUGCCUCCCUUCCAUAAAUUUUGAGUCAGUUAUUCAUCUCUGGAGAAACAAAGUUAGAAUGGUGAAGCUGAGAAGCUUUUUUAAGAAAUGUUCACCAGAUGUGCAGAAAACAAGAAUUUACCUCAGCCAGUCACUAGGCACCCUUGUCCAGAGUCUCAUCCAUUUUCUCCUGCUCCCCUUUUUUUCCCACUAUCUUCAAUUUCAACUCCAGGCAAUAAUAGUGUCAUUGAGGUAACAGCUAGAGAAGUUGUUGUUGGUGCUGCUUUAUUAUUCACUGGUCCUGCAAGCCUUUUCAUGGUGGUGCCGAAGAAAAGCCACAAGAAUUUUUCUUUGAUGUGCAUGGUCAGUAGUCAUAGUUUUUCAGCCUACGAAAAAUGGUAAAGGCAGACCAAAAAAUACAUUGGAGGAAAUUAUUAAAAGGGUCAUUGUGAAUAAUAUCCCUAAGAAUUUGGCUUUUUUAUCAAGCCCAGUAGCUUCUUGUAAUCUAUGUAGCUGACCUUAAGGGUAUGAGGCUAUUGUUGUUGUGCAUGGUGAGCUGUCAUAGCUAAACGGUUAAAUGCUACAUUGUUUUAAGUCAUUAAUUGGGUGAAAUUUGUUUUUUUACAUCUAUUUGCAGAUGAAGAGGAUCCUAAAGUACAUCUUGGGCAGCUUGAUGUUGAUCAUAGGUUCCUGCCAAAUCUCUUUAUUUCCUCUUUCCUCCUUAUUCAUGGUCUUUGUUUAAGAGAAUUCUGAUUAAAAAAAAAGGACCAAAGUUCUUCCUAAUGGCAUACACUCAUUUUUUCAUUUAUCAUUUUCUGGAAAAUUUAACUUAGAAUCUAUGUCAAAGUAUUUCCAAGAAGCAGAGAGGGUGCUUAUGUUAUUGCAUCCAGAUAUUGAUGCCACUUUUUCCUGAUUUAGCUUAUAAUGAACUUCUUAGUAAGCUAUUUGAGGAACUUGGUGUGGCUGUUGAUGAUGUGACAGAAUUAAUUGAGAGUUGGCACCAAUUUUCUAGCAAAUUUUACUAUGGAGUAGAUAGAGACAGGGAAAGAAAGACAUUGUGCCUACUGGGAAUUGGUUCUGAAUGACAUACAGGAUACUUUUGAACUCCUGACCAAUUUACAAUGAAAAAGAUGGGUAGAUGAUUAUCUUCAGUAGUUUCCCCAAGCUUGCAAAAGAUAUGAAAGGGACAAUUAAGGCAGUAAAAUGGUUGGAUGUCUAAAUGUUUAGAUUAAUAUUCCUAUGAUUAAUGAAUCCAUCCCUUCUAUAAUGGAGGUAAUUUAUCUAGGGAUAAGUGUAAAUGUUUCUGUAAGUUUGUUAGGGGCAUUCAAAUGUCACAAAAUUUCAUCCCUGCAAGCUGCUACCGCAAUAUGCUCAUUGUGUAUUUGAAUAGCUCAUAUGCUUCCUCCCUACUGGAUGUGAAACAGAUAUUAAUGUUUACUUGGAUGGCCUUGAAGCUUAUGGCAUGUGCAGCAACUUUCUACAUCAUUAAAGUGUAUACUGUACUUGACAAGAAACUUGAGCAAGUUGAUUCUACUGUGGCUUUUUGGUCUCGGGAAAGAUUUGAAGCUUUUUCAUCUAUUUUUAUUUUGUAAGGGAGUGGAAAGAGCAGAUUCAUUCUUUUGUGCCUCUAUUGAUUUCAACCAUACUAGACCUUUCAAAAAUUCAUGGACCAUGUUUUCUUUCGAGAACAAUUGAUAUUAAAGAAAGUAUCAAUAUGCUGAGCUUCAUUAUAAUGUCCUAAUUUUAACAUUAUUGAGUUGAA